GUGCGUGCUUCCGCUGCACAUAUCCUAAAAUUGGAACAAUACAGAGAAAAUUAGCAUGGCCCCUGCAUAGGGAGGCAGCGCAAAUUUUUGAAGCAUUCCAUAUUUUG
ensembl:snRNA U6 U6 spliceosomal RNA